AAGGGUGCAGGGCGGAUGCCUUGGCACUAGGAGCCGAUGAAGGACGUGAUAAGCUGCGAUAAGCUUCGGGGAGUUGCACGUAAACUUUGAUCCGAAGAUUUCCGAAUGAGGAAACUCACUUAGAGUAAUGUCUAAGUAUCAUUAAGUGAAUACAUAGCUUAAUGAGGGGAACUCAGGGAACUGAAACAUCUAAGUACCUGAAGGAAGAGAAAGAAAUUCGAUUCCGUAAGUAGCGGCGAGCGAACGCGGAUUAGCCCAAACCAAUA
rnacentral:rRNA from 1 species